CGCCUUAUACAUGCAAGUCGAACGAAGUAGUAAUACUUAGUGGCAGACGGGUGAGUAACAUGUAGGUAUCUUCCCUUUGGUGAGGAAUAACACGAGGAAACUUGUGCUAAUACCUCAUAAGUCUUUACGGAGAAAGCUUUAUGCGCCGAAGGAUGAGCCUGCACUUGAUUAGUUUGUUGGUGGGGUAAUGGCCUACCAAGACUUUGAUCUAUAGCUGAUCUGAGAGGAUGAUCAGCCACAUUGGGACUGAGACACGGCCCAAACUCCUACGGGAGGCAGCAGUAGGGAAUAUUGCACAAUGGAGGAAACUCUGAUGCAGCGAUGCCGCGUGAGUGAAGAAGGCCUUUGGGUUGUAAAGCUCUUUCGUCGGGGAAGAAAAUGACUGUACCCGAAUAAGAAGGUCCGGCUAACUUCGUGCCAGCAGCCGCGGUAAUACGAAGGGACCUAGCGUAGUUCGGAAUUACUGGGCUUAAAGAGUUCGUAGGUGGUUAAAAAAGUUGGUGGUGAAAUCCCAGAGCUUAACUCUGGAACUGCCAUCAAAACUUUUUAGCUAGAGUAUGAUAGAGGAAAGCAGAAUUUCUAGUGUAGAGGUGAAAUUCGUAGAUAUUAGAAAGAAUACCAAUUGCGAAGGCAGCUUUCUGGAUCAUUACUGACGCUGAGGAACGAAAGCAUGGGUAGCGAAGAGGAUUAGAUACCCUCGUAGUCCAUGCCGUAAACGAUGUGUGUUAGACGUUGGAAAUUUAUUUUCAGUGUCGCAGCGAAAGCAUUAAACACACCGCCUGGGGAGUACG
rnacentral:rRNA from 1 species